GCAGCAGUAGGGAAUCUUCCACAAUGGGCGCAAGCCUGAUGGAGCAACGCCGCGUGAGUGAAGAAGGUCUUCGGAUCGUAAAACUCUGUUGUUAGAGAAGAACAUGCGGGAGAGUAACUGUUCUUGUAUUGACGGUAUCUAACCAGAAAGCCACGGCUAACUACGUGCCAGCAGCCGCGGUAAUUCGGAGGGUGCAAGCGUUAAUCGGAAUAACUGGGCGUAAAGGGCAUGCAGGCGGUUCAUCAAGUAGGAUGUGAAAUCCCCGGGCUCAACCUGGGAACAGCAUACUAAACUGGUGGACUAGAGUAUUGCAGGGGGAGACGGAAUUCCAGGUGUAGCGGUGGAAUGCGUAGAUAUCUGGAAGAACACCAAAGGCGAAGGCAGUCUCCUGGGCAAAUACUGACGCUCAUAUGCGAAAGCGUGGGUAGCAAACAGGAUUAGAUACCCUGGUAGUCCACGCCGUAAACGAUGUCAAUUAGGAGUUUGGGCCGUGUCA
rnacentral:rRNA from 1 species